rnacentral:rRNA from 1 species
CCCUUAGAUGCUCUGGGCCGCACGCGCGCUACACUGGUCGAUGCAACGAGUUUCUUUCCUUGGCCGACAGGCCUGGGCAAUCUUUGAACAUCGAUCGUGAUCGGGAUAGAUUCUUGUAAUUUUUGAUCUUAAACGAGGAAUUCCUAGUAAACGCAAGUCAUCAACUUGCAUUGAUUACGUCCCUGCCCUUUGUACACACCGCCCGUCGCACCUACCGAUUGAAUGGUCCGGUGAAGCCUCCGGAUUGGCGCGCACCUCGGUGCCGCCGAGAAGUUGGCUAAACCUUACCAUUUAGAGGAAGGUGAAGUCGUANCA